UGCCUGGUUGUGGCUCACAGAAGGGAAUGUAACAUAUCUCUGGAUCCAGCACCUAGGUGGGAUUGUGAUAUACCUAGGCCUAGUUCAUGGGUGUGAUGAUGACUCUCAUAUGUGGACCCAACCAAUAGAAAAGAUUUUGACUCUCAUGGCUAGAAUUAGGGGAAUAG
rnacentral:antisense_RNA from 1 species